rnacentral:rRNA from 1 species
UACGAAGGGGGCUAGCGUUGUUCGGAUUUACUGGGCGUAAAGCGCACGUAGGCGGAUCGUUAAGUCGGGGGUGAAAUCCUGGGGCUCAACCCCGGAACGGCCUUUGAUACUGGGUGUCUUGAGUUCGGAAGAGGUGAGUGGAGUUGCGAGUGUAGAGGUGAAAUUCGUAGAUAUUGGGAAGAACACCGGUGGCGAAGGCGGCUCACUGGCUCGUUUCUGACGCUCAGGCGCGACAGCGUGGGGAUCAAACAGG